rnacentral:rRNA from 1 species
GACGAACGCUGGCGGCGUGCUUAACACAUGCAAGUCGAACGGAAAGGCCCUGCUUUUGUGGGGUGCUCGAGUGGCGAACGGGUGCGUAACACGUGAGUAACCUGCCCUUGACUUUGGGAUAACUUCAGGAAACUGGGGCUACUACAGGAUAGGAGAUCCUGCUGCAUGGUGGGGGUUGGAACGUUUCGGCGGUUGGGGAUGGACUAGCGGCUUACGAGCUAGUUGGUGGGGGAGUGGCUUACCAAGGCUGUGACGGAUAGGCGGCCUGGGAGCGUGACCGGGCUCAUGGGUACUGAGAGACGGCCCAGACUGCAACGGGAGGCAGCGGUGGGGAAUAUGGCACAACGGGCGGAAGCCGGAGGCAGCAACGCCGCGUGCGGGAUGGCGGCCUGCUGGUUGUAAACCGCUGUCGCCUGUGACGAAGCGGUAGUGACGGUAAUGGGUAAAGAAGCACCGGCUAACUACGUG